AGUGAACGCUGGCGGUAGGCCUAACACAUGCUAGUCGAACGGCAGCACAGUAAGAGCUUGCUCUUACGGGUGGCGAGUGGCGGACGGGUGAGGAAUACAUCGGAAUCUACUUUUUCGUGGGGGAUAACGUAGGGAAACUUACGCUAAUACCGCAUACGACCUACGGGUGAAAGCAGUGGAUCUUCGGACCUUGCGCGAUUGAAUGAGCCGAUGUCGGAUUAGCUAGUUGGCGAGGUAAAGGCCCACCAAGGCGACGAUCCGUAGCUGGUCUGAGAGGAUGAUCAGCCACACUGGAACUGAGACACGGUCCAGACUCCUACGGGAGGCAGCAGUGGGGAAUAUUGGACAAUGGGCGCAAGCCUGAUCCAGCCAUACCGCGUGGGUGAAGAAGGCCUUCGGGUUGUAAAGCCCUUUUGUUGGGAAAGAAAAGCAGCAGGUUAAUACCCCGCUGUUCUGACGGUACCCAAAGAAUAAGCACCGGCUAACUUCGUG
rnacentral:rRNA from 1 species